CUGUCUGAAUAUGGGGGGACCAUCCUCCAAGGCUAAAUACUCCUGACUGACCGAUAGUGAACCAGUACCGUGAGGGAAAGGCGAAAAGAACCCCGGCGAGGGGAGUGAAAAAGAACCUGAAACCGUGUACGUACAAGCAGUGGGAGCACAGGUUUACCUGUGUGACUGCGUACCUUUUGUAUAAUGGGUCAGCGACUUAUAUUCUGUAGCAAGGUUAACCGUAUAGGGGAGCCGYAGGGAAACCGAGUCUUAAYYGGGCGUUAAGUUGCAGGGUAUAGACCCGAAACCCGGUGAUCUAGCCAUGGGCAGGUUGAAGGUUGGGUAACACUAACUGGAGGACCGAACCGACUAAUGUUGAAAAAUUAGCGGAUGACCUGUGGCUGG
rnacentral:rRNA from 1 species